rnacentral:rRNA from 1 species
CGGCGAGUGAGCGGCAACAGCUCAAAUUUGAAAUCUGGCGUCUUUGGCGUCCGAGUUGUAAUUUGCAGAGGGCGCUUUGGCAUUGGCAGCGGUCCAAGUUCCUUGGAACAGGACGUCACAGAGGGUGAGAAUCCCGUACGUGGUCGCUAGCCUUUACCGUGUAAAGCCCCUUCGACGAGUCGAGUUGUUUGGGAAUGCAGCUCUAAAUGGGAGGUAAAUUUCUUCUAAAGCUAAAUACUGGCCAGAGACCGAUAGCGCACAAGUAGAGUGAUCGAAAGAUGAAAAGCACUUUGGAAAGAGAGUUAAAAAGCACGUGAAAUUGUUGAAAGGGAAGCGCUUGCAGCCAGACUUGCCUGUAGUUGCUCAUCCGGGUUUUUACCCGGUGCACUCUUCUACGGGCAGGCCAGCAUCAGUUUGGGCGGUUGGAUAAAGGUCUCUGUCAUGUACCUCCUCUCGGGGAGAUCUUAUAGGGGAGACGACAUGCAACCAGCCUGGACUGAGGUCCGCGCAUCUGCUAGGAUGCUGGCGUAAUGGCUGUAAGCGGCCCGUCUU